rnacentral:rRNA from 1 species
AUUGAAUGCUGGCGGCAUGCCUUACACAUGCAAGUCGAACGGUAACAGGCCGCAAGGUGCUGACGAGUGGCGAACGGGUGAGUAAUGCAUCGGAACGUGCCCAGUCGUGGGGGAUAACUACUCGAAAGAGUAGCUAAUACCGCAUACGAUCUAUGGAUGAAAGCGGGGGACCGUAAGGCCUCGCGCGAUUGGAGCGGCCGAUGUCAGAUUAGGUAGUUGGUGGGGUAAAGGCUCACCAAGCCAACGAUCUGUAGCUGGUCUGAGAGGACGACCAGCCACACUGGGACUGAGACACGGCCCAGACUCCUACGGGAGGCAGCAGUGGGGAAUUUUGGACAAUGGGCGCAAGCCUGAUCCAGCAAUGCCGCGUGCAGGAAGAAGGCCUUCGGGUUGUAAACUGCUUUUGUACGGAACGAAACGGCUCUGGUUAAUACCCGGGGCUAAUGACGGUACCGUAAGAAUAAGCACCGGCUAACUACGUG